AUUGAACGCUAGCGGGAUGCCUUACACAUGCAAGUCGAACGGAGUGGCGAACGGGUGAGGACUGUAUCGGGACGUACCCAGUAGCGGGGGAUACCUACGCGGAAGCGUAGCUAAUACCACAUACUAUUUAGGCGGCCGCUGUCGGAUUUGCUAGGUGGUGGGGUAACGGCUCACCAAGGCGACGAUGCGUAGCUGGUCUGAGAGGACGACCCGCCACACUGGGACUGAGACACGGCCCAGACUCCUACGGGAGGCAGCAGUGGGGAAUGUUGGGCAAUGGGGGAAACCCUGACCGAGCCAUCCCGCGUGAGCGAUGAAGGCCUUCGGGUUGUAAAGCACUUUUGGCAGGAAAGCGGUACCUGCAGAAUAAGCACCGGCUAACUACGUGCCAGCAGCCGCGGUAAUUC
rnacentral:rRNA from 1 species